CCUGCCUCCCAGAGUCAUUGGAGGUCUGUAUUUUGUGUCAUAUGAGUGUCAGAGAAGAGAGAGGCUAUGUCUAUGCUCACCUCACUGUCCUGACCUCUGAAUGUCUGAAUGAGAAGUAGCCUAACAUU